rnacentral:rRNA from 1 species
UACGAAGGGGGCUAGCGUUGCUCGGAAUCACUGGGCGUAAAGCGCACGUAGGCGGACUCUUAAGUCGGGUGGUGAAAUCCUGGAGCUCAACUCCAGAACUGCCUCCGAUACUGGGAGCCUUCGAGUCCGGGAGAGGUGAGUGGAACUGCGAGUGUAGAGGUGAAAUUCGUAGAUAUUCGCAAGAACACCAGUGGCGAAAGGCGGCUCACUGGCCCGGUACUGACGCUGAGGUGCGAAAAGCGUGGGGGAGCAAACAGG